rnacentral:rRNA from 1 species
UACGGAGGAUCCAAGCGUUAUCCGGAAUCAUCGGGUUUAAAGGGUCCGUAGGCGGUUUAAUAAGUCAGUGGUGAAAGCCCAUCGCUCAACGGUGGAACGGCCAUUGAUACUGUUAGACUUGAAUUAUUAGGAAGUAACUAGAAUAUGUAGUGUAGCGGUUGAAAUGCUUAGAGAUUACAUGGAAUACCAAUUGCGGAAGGCAGUUACUACUAAUGGAUUGACGCUGAUGGACGAAAGCGUGGGUAGCGAACAGG